UUCUAUAUUCUCUAGCUCAUCGCACCAUGGUUUCGAAGGUGUACUUGCUUUUACAUCACAAAGAGUAUUGCCGACGACAUGACUACCAAUCGGACAAUGUUUUGCAAAUCUAACCGGACUCUUGAACUGUGGAGGAGAAGGCACUUGAGGCAUAAAUAACAUUGACUCAUCAUCAUUGGUUCUCACAAUUAGUUCUUCACCGACCUUGUUGUCAUUAUCCC
rnacentral:lncRNA from 1 species